UACGAAGGGGGCUAGCGUUGCUCGGAAUCACUGGGCGUAAAGGGUGCGUAGGCGGGUCUUUUAAGUCAGAGGUGAAAUCCUGGAGCUCAACUCCAGAACUGCCUUUGAUACUGAAGAUCUUGAGUUCGGGAGAGGUGAGUGGAACUGCGAGUGUAGAGGUGAAAUUCGUAGAUAUUCGCAAGAACACCAGUGGCGAAGGCGGCUCACUGGCCCGAUACUGACGCUGAUGCACGAAAGCGUGGGGGAGCAAACAGG
rnacentral:rRNA from 1 species